rnacentral:rRNA from 1 species
AGCUGGCUGGUGCCAUGAGGUGACUUCUGCCCAGUGCUCUGAUUGUUACUGCGAAGAGAUUCAGCCAAGCGCGGGUAAACGGCGGGAGUAACUAUGACUCUCUUAAGGUAGCCAAAUGCCUCGUCAACCAAUUAUUGACGCGCAUGAAUGGAUCAACGAGAUUCCUGCUGUCCCUAGUUGCUGUCUGGUGAACCAACAGCCAAGGGAACGGGCUUGGAUGUGUCAGCGGGGAAAGAAGACCCUGUUGAGUUUGACUCUAGUUUGAUGCUGUGCAGUGACAUGUGGGGUGUAGCACAGGUGGGAGGCCAGUGCCAUGGCACCACCCCGAAGAGGAACGUAUGAUUUUCAGCAGGAACGUAUGACUACAGGAUGACCAAGGUGCAAACCAGCAGUGAAAUACCACUACCUUCACCGUCGCUUUACUCAUCGAGUUGCCUGGGAACGGCAGCCAUGAAUUCGGCUCUUUCGGUCUCGGCCAAAGAACUGUGGCUAUCCACCGAUUCGUGCUCAAAGCGCGGCCUCGUGUCGCGCAACCCUGGAAGCAGCAAUCCAAUCAGAAGCCUCGAGACAUUGAUCAGUUGGGGAGUUUGGCUGGGGCGGCACGCCUGUUACAGGACAACGCAGGCGUCCUGAAGCAAUGCUCAGAUGGAACAGAAAUCUCACAUGGAGGAGCAGGCCAAAGGUGCUGCUGAUGCGUCGACUCUCAGUACGAGUCCAAAACGUGCAAGUGUGGCCUUGCGAUCCUUUGGUCAAGCACACGAGUUUGGGAUAUUGAAGCCAGAGGUGUCAGAAAAAUUACCACAGGGAUAACUGGCUUGUGGCUGCCAAGCGUUCAAAGCGACGUCGCUUUUUGAUCCUUCGAUGUCGGCUCUUCCUAGCUUCCCACCCGCAGCCGAGUGGAAGAGUUGGAUUGUUCACCCACUAACAGGGAACGUGAGCUGG